rnacentral:tRNA from 1 species
AGCCCUGUCGUCUAGCGGUCAAAUCUUCAAGUGCUAUAAAAGGUACAGAAGAGACUAUAGAUACAAGCCUUUGGAGCUUGUGACCCAGGUUCGAAUCCUGGCAGGGCUA